CAGUCGCCGCGGGAAUACGGAGGGUGCAAGCGUUAAUCGGAAUUACUGGGCGUAAAGCGCACGCAGGCGGUCUGACAAGUCAGAUGUGAAAUCCCCGGGCUUAACCUGGGAACUGCAUUUGAAACUGUCAGGCUGGAGUCUUGUAGAGGGGGGUAGAAUUCCAGGUGUAGCGGUGAAAUGCGUAGAGAUCUGGAGGAAUACCGGUGGCGAAGGCGGCCCCCUGGACAAAGACUGACGCUCAGGUGCGAAAGCGUGGGGAGCAAACAGGAUUAGAUAUCCGUGUAGUCCCUGUCUCUUAUAC
rnacentral:rRNA from 1 species